rnacentral:rRNA from 1 species
CACGUAGGGCGCAAGCGUUGUCCGGAAUCAUUGGGCGUAAAGCGCGUGUAGGCGGCCCGGUAAGUCCGCUGUGAAAGUCCAGGGCUCAACCCUGGGAUGCCGGUGGAUACUGUCGGGCUCGAGUCCGGAAGAGGAGUGUGGAAUUCCUGGUGUAGCGGUGAAAUGCGCAGAUAUCAGGAAGAACACCCGUGGCUAAGGCGGUUCUCUAGUACGGUACUGACGCUGAGACGCGAAAGCGUGGGGAGCGAACAGG